rnacentral:rRNA from 1 species
CCUACGGGAGGCAGCAGUGGGGAAUAUUGCACAACGGGGGGAACCCUGAUGCAGCGACGCCGCGUGAGUGAAGAAGUAUUUCGGUAUGUAAAGCUCUAUCAGCAGGGAAGAAAAUGACGGUACCUGACUAAGAAGCCCCGGCUAACUACGUGCCAGCAGCCGCGGUAAUACGUAGGGGGCAAGCGUUAUCCGGAUUUACUGGGUGUAAAGGGAGCGCAGACGGCUGUGCAAGUCUGGAUUGAAAGGCGGGGGCCCAACCCCCGGACUGCUGUGGAAACUGUAAGUCUGGUGUGCAGGAGAGGUAGGCGGAAUUCGUAGGGUAGCGGUGAAAUGCAUAGAUAUUAGGAGGAACACCAGUGGCGAAGGCGGCUGACUGGACUCAAACUGACGUUGAGGCUCGAAAGCGUGGGGAGCAAACAGGAUUAGAUACCCUAGUAGUC